rnacentral:rRNA from 1 species
GUCUACAGCCAUACCACCCUGAACGUGCCCGAUCUUGUCUGAUCUCAGAAGCUAAGCAGGGUCAGGCCUGGUUAGUACUUGGAUGGGAAGAAUCCUCCAGUUACCAUGGAGU